rnacentral:lncRNA from 1 species
CAGUGUCAAAAUCCUGACUGACUGUUGUCUGUGCAGAGGGGGCGCCGCAGAGUCGAGCGGAACUCUGUCCCGAGAAAAAGAGGUGAAAAAACUCAACGAGGAAAUCGAGCGCCUCAAGAAGAAACUGGCAGAGUCUGAUAGGCUGGAGAAGCAGCUGGAGGAGGCGGUCUCUCUGCGCCAGGACGAAAGCUCCGCCUCCAAACUUCAACUCUGGAAAAACAAGUGAAGAGUCUCCGGCAGGAAAAGGACGAGACGCACAAGCAGUUACAGGAGUCCCUG